GACGAACGCUGGCGGCGUGCUUAACACAUGCAAGUCGAACGGUGAAGGGACCAGCUUGCUGGUUCUGGAUGAGUGGCGAACGGGUGAGUAACACGUGAGUAACCUGCCCCCUUCUUCUGGAUAACCGCAUGAAAGUGUGGCUAAUACGGGAUAUUCUGGGUCUGUCGCAUGGCGGGCCCGGGAAAGAUAUUGCUUCGGUGGGGGAUGGGCUCGCGGCCUAUCAGCUUGUUGGUGGGGGGAUGGCCUACCAAGGCGGUGACGGGUAGCCGGCCUGAGAGGGUGGACGGUCACACUGGGACUGAGACACGGCCCAGACUCCUACGGGAGGCAGCAGUGGGGAAUAUUGCACAAUGGGCGCAAGCCUGAUGCAGCGACGCCGCGUGAGGGAUGGAGGCCUUCGGGUUGUAAACCUCUUUCGCCAGUGAAGCAGGCCUGCUCCUUGUGGGUGGGUUGACGGUAGCUGGAGAAGAAGCGCCGGCUAACUACGUG
rnacentral:rRNA from 1 species